rnacentral:rRNA from 1 species
CGAACGCUGGCGGCGUGCUUAACACAUGCAAGUCGAACGGUGAAGCGCCUUCCUUUUUGGUGGGUGUGGAUGAGUGGCGAACGGGUGAGUAACACGUGAGUAACCUGCCCCCUUCUUCUGGAUAACCGCAUGAAAGUGUGGCUAAUACGGGAUAUUCUGGGUCUGUCGCAUGAUGGGUCUGGGAAAGAUAUUGUUUCGGUGGGGGAUGGGCUCGCGGCCUAUCAGCUUGUUGGUGGGGUGAUGGCCUACCAAGGCGGUGACGGGUAGCCGGCCUGAGAGGGUGGACGGUCACACUGGGACGGAGACACGGCCCAGACUCCUACGGGAGGCAGCAGUGGGGAAUAUUGCACAAUGGGCGCAAGCCUGAUGCAGCGACGCCGCGUGAGGGAUGGAGGCCUUCGGGUUGUGAACCUCUUUCGCCAGUGAAGCAGGCCUGCCUCGUUUGUGGGUGGGUUGACGGUAGCUGGAGAAGAAGCGCCGGCUAACUACGUG